CACUGGAAAUGCAGCAAGGAUUCCUGGCACAUCCCAGUUGCCAUAGCAACAGCAGUCUUUCCCAUAAUGAGCUGCAUCAUCUGAACUGAUGUCACAGCAUCAUGCAGCAGGUCAAACAAGGCAUCUCCUAGUAUUGCAUCCUACAGAUGUGCUGUAAACAUCAAAAGAAGACAGUGGGAGCAGGAGAUGCUGUUUUGGAAAGAAGUAAGGCUUAGACUGCUCCAUGUUAACCAUGAGUGUAACACUGUCCCCCCUGAGGUCACAAGACCUGGAUCCCAUGGCUACUGAUGCUUCGCCCAUGGCCAUCAACUUGACACCCACUGUGGAGCAGGGUGAGGGAGAAGAGGCGAUGAAGGAUAUGGAUUCUGACCAGCAGUAUGAAAAGCCACCCCCGCUGCAUACAGGGGCCGACUGGAAGAUUGUCCUUCACUUACCUGAAAUUGAGACCUGGCUCCGGAUGACCUCGGAGAGGGUCCGGGACCUCACCCACUCAGUCCAGCAGGACUCAGACAGCAAGCACGUGGAUGUGCAUCUAGUUCAGCUGAAGGACAUUUGCGAAGAUAUUUCUGAUCAUGUUGAACAAAUCCACGCCCUCCUUGAGACUGAGUUCUCCCUGAAGCUGCUGUCCUACUCUGUCAAUGUGAUUGUGGACAUCCACGCGGUGCAGCUCCUCUGGCACCAGCUCCGAGUCUCCGUGCUGGUCCUGCGGGAGCGCAUUCUGCAAGGUCUGCAGGACGCCAAUGGCAACUACACCAGGCAGACAGACAUUCUGCAAGCUUUCUCCGAAGAGACAACAGAGGGCCGGCUUGAUUCUCUAACGGAAGUGGAUGACUCAGGACAGCUAACUAUCAAAUGCUCUCAAAAUUACUUGUCUCUGGAUUGUGGUAUUACCGCUUUUGAACUGUCUGACUAUAGUCCCAGUGAGGAUUUGCUUGGUGGCCUGGGUGACAUGACCUCUAGCCAGGUCAAAACCAAACCCUUUGACUCUUGGAGCUACAGUGAGAUGGAAAAGGAGUUCCCUGAGCUUAUCCGAAGUGUCGGGUUACUUACUGUGGCUGCUGACCCCGUCCCUCCCCACCACAGUGAAGUGUCCCUUUCAGCAGAUGAUGGAGGUGGAUGUGAGGAAAACAAUGCUUCCACAGUCGAGGAGAAACCAGGCUUAAUGCAGGGGAUGUCUUCUUCAGUGGAAGCUCUGACGAAUACUGCCCAACCCUCUUCUGAGACUGCCAAGCAAGAACCUGAUCCCUCCUCCCAACCUGGAGCUAAGAACCAACAGCCUCCUCCUUGUGAAAAUGCAACCCCCAAGCGAUCCAUCAGAGAUUGCUUUAAUUAUAAUGAGGACUCUCCCACACAGCCCACAUUGCCAAAAAGAGGGCUCUUCCUUAAAGAGGAAAAAAUUAAGCAUAAUCUGAAAGGCACUGAUGGAAAGAAGCAGAUGGUGGAUCUCAAGCCUGAGAUGAGCAGAAGCACCCCUUCUCUGGUGGAUGCUCCUGACAGAUCCAAGCUUUGCCUGGUGUUACAGUCUUCCUACCCCAGCAGCGCCUCUGCUGCCAGCCAGUCCUAUGAGUGUUUGCACAAGGUGGGGGAUGGGUGUCUUGAAAACACAGUCAGAGGUCACAUUAAAGAAAUCUCCUCCAGCCUGGGAAGGCUUAACGAUUGCCAUAAUGAGAAACCUCGACUUAAAAAGCCACAUAAGACCCCAGAAGAGGUGCCUCCCGGCCAAACACCUAAAGGGGGAACGGGUUCAGGCAAGCAAGCAGAAAACACAAGGAGCUCCAUGGUGCCGAAUGGAAUUCCUUCUGGUACUUCUAAGGCCAUAGAGGGGCCAGAAACAGAUUCUGCUUCCACAUCCUCACUUGAGCCCUGUAAUCAAAGAAGGUGGAAUACCAAAUUACCAGUGCAGUCAGAAACAUCCAGUUCACCACCUCUUACUGAAAGCAGCAAAUCCUCUGUUGGCUCAGACAAUAUCAUAUCUCCGGAGCCCCUUCUUUCAAAACACAAAAGCAAAAAAUGUUACUCCUCCUCCCCAAGUCACAUCAUGAAGAACGGUCGGGUCGUGGAGGCCUGGUACGGCUCCGAUGAGUACCUGGCUCUGCCCUCUCACCUUAAGCAGACAGAAGUAUUAGCUUUGAAGUUGGAAAACUUAACGAAGCUUCUGCCUCAGAAACCCAGAGGAGAAACUAUUCAGAAUAUUGAUGACUGGGAACUGUCUGAGAUGAAUUCAGACUCUGAGAUCUAUCCAACGUACCAUAUCAAGAAGAAGCAUACAAGGCUGGGCAGGGUGUCUCCAAGCUCAUCCAGCGACAUAGCCUCUUCCCUGGGAGAGAGCAUUGAGUCUGGGCCCCUGAGUGACAUUCUUUCUGAUGAGGAGCUGGGUAUGCCUCUCUCUGGUAUGAAGAAAUACACUGAUGAGAAGUCAGAGAGAGCUUCAUCUUCUGAGAAAAAUGAAAGCCAUUCUGUCACAAAAUCUGCUUUAAUUCAGAAACUUAUGCAAGAUAUUCAACACCAAGACAACUAUGAAGCCAUAUGGGAAAAAAUGGAGGGGUUUGUAAACAAGCUGGACGAAUUCAUUCAAUGGUUAAAUGAAGCCAUGGAGACUACCGAGAACUGGGCACCCCCGAAAGCAGAGACGGAUGGCCUUAAACUGUACCUGGAGACGCACUUGAGUUUCAAGUUGAAUGUAGACAGUCAUUGUGCUCUCAAGGAAGCUGUGGAGGAGGAAGGACACCAGCUUCUUGAGCUUAUUGCAUCUCACAAAGCAGAAGGACUAAAGGACAUGCUGCGGAUGAUCGCAAGUCAAUGGAAGGAGCUGCAGAGGCAAAUCAAACGGCAGCACAGCUGGAUUCUCCGAGCUCUGGACACCAUCAAAGCCGAGAUCCUGGCUACUGAUGUGUCUGUGGAGGAUGAGGAAGGGACUCGAAGCCCCAAGGCUGAGGUUCAACUAUGCUACCUGGAAGCACAAAGGGAUGCUGUUGAGCAGAUGUCCCUGAAGCUGUACAGUGAGCAGUACACCAGCAGCAGCAAGAGGAAAGAAGAGUUUGCUGAUAUGUCAAAAGUUCAUUCAGUGGGAGGCAAUGGGCUUCUGGACUUUGAUUCAGAAUAUCAGGAGCUCUGGGAUUGGCUGAUUGACAUGGAGUCCCUUGUGAUGGACAGCCACGACCUGAUGAUGUCAGAGGAGCAGCAGCAGCAUCUUUACAAGCGAUACAGUGUGGAAAUGUCCAUCAGGGACCUGAAAAAGACAGAGCUGCUUAGUAAGGUUGAAGCUUUGAAGAAAGGUGGCGUUUUACUACCAAAUGAUCUCCUUGAAAAAGUGGAUUCAAUUAAUGAAAAAUGGGAACUGCUUGGGAAAACCCUAGGAGAGAAGAUCCAGGACACAAUGGCAGGGCACAGUGGGUCGGGUCCACGUGACCUGCUCUCCCCUGAGAGCGGAAGCCUGGUAAGGCAGCUGGAGGCCAGGAUCAAAGAACUGAAAGGGUGGCUGAGAGAUACGGAGCUUUUCAUCUUCAAUUCCUGUCUGAGACAAGAAAAGGAAGGAACAAUGAAUGCUGAGAAACAACUGCAAUACUUUAAGUCGCUGUGUGGUGAAAUCAAGCAGCGGCGCCGUGGAGUGGCCUCCAUCCUGCGGUUGUGCCAGCACCUUCUGGAUGAGGGGGAGACCUGUGAUCUGAGCGCAGACCACCAGCCCAUGCAGCUGAUCAUCGUGAAUCUUGAAAGGAGGUGGGAAGCCAUUGUCCUGCAUGCUGUCCAGUGGCAAACGAGGCUUCAGAAGAAGAUGGGAAAGGACUCUGAGACUUUGAAUGUGAUUGAUCCUGGCUUGAUGGACCUAAAUGGGACCAGUGAGGAUGCUCUGGAAUGGGAUGAAACCGAUAUAAGUAACAAGUUAAUUAGUUUGAAUGAAGAAUCAAAUGACCUUGAUCAAGAACCCCGAUCUACCAUGCCUUCCUUAAAACUUGAAGAGACAGGUUGUGAGGGACCUAGUUAUGAAGAAAAGGCAGAUGACCGUGGGGGAUCUCAGUACACAUCAAGUAUUACUGCCCCUUCCAGUCCACACGUUUACCAAGUAUACAGCCUCCACAACGUGGAGCUCUAUGAGGACAACCACAUGCCGUUCCUCAAGAACAGUCCAAAGCUCACCAGCACGACACAGCCGAAUAUUUUAACUAAGAGUCUCAGUAAAGACUCUUCAUUUUCAUCUACCAAAUCUCUGCCAGAUCUUCUAGGGAGUCCUAGUUUGGUGAAGCCCUACCCAUGCCAUGGAGGAGACACAAGCCAGAAUUCCGGCAGCGAGAGUGGAAUCGUCAGUGAAGGAGACACCGACACCACUACCAACUCUGAAGCAUGCUUGCUCAAUGUGGUAGAUGGGUCCCCAAGUAACCCCGACACUGAACAUCUGGACCUGCCAAUGGGAGAUGCUAUUAAUGUGUUAGAGCAAAAAUUUAAAGAUGAGGAGGAAGUCAUUAAGUUUCCAAAUAGUGCUCAGUCAUCCAUUUCACCAGUGGGUUGUGUAAAUGGAAAAGUUGGAGACUUAAACAGUGUUAUCAAACAUACCCCUGACCGUUUGGAGGAAGAAUUACAAGGAAAACAUGAUGUGUUUACAUUUUAUGAUUACUCAUACCUCCAAGGCUCAAAACUCAAAUUACCAAUGAUAAUGAAACAGUCACAAAAUGAAAAAGCACAUGUAGAGGAUCCCUUGCUUCAUGGCUUUUAUUUUGAUAAAAAAUCCUGCAAAUCUAAACAUCAAGCCACAGAGUUACAACCAGAUGCACCUCCCCAUGAAAGGAUUUUGGCAAGUGCAUCCCAUGAAAUGGAUCACAGUUCAUAUAAAAGUGGUGAGGUAGAGAAGUCACUCACUGGCAUGCAGAAUGCCAAACAGCUCUCCCUUUUAUCUCAUAGUUCAUCUGUCGAGUCCCUUUCUCCAGGGGGUGAUUUAUUUGGAUUGGGCCUCUUUAAAAAUGGCAGUGACAGCCUCCAGCGAAGCACUUCUUUAGAAAGUUGGUUGACAUCCUAUAAAAGCAAUGAAGAUCUUUUUAGCUGUCACAGCUCUGGGGACAUAAGUGUGAGCAGUGGCUCAGUCGGUGAACUGAGUAAAAGGACAUUAGAUCUCCUGAAUCGUUUGGAGAAUAUCCAGAGCCCCUCAGAGCAAAAGAUAAAGCGAAGUGUUUCCAAUAUCACUCUUCAAAGUGGUUCCCAAAAGAUGUCCUUGACUGGCCAGCUGUCGUUGGACAUAGCAUCUUCCAUCAAUGAAGACUCGCCAACAUCUCUUACAGAACUUAGCAGCAGUGAUGAGCUCUCUCUUUGCUCAGAGGAUAUUGUGCUACACAAGAACAAGAUCCCGGAAUCAAAUGCUUCUUUUAGGAAGCGCCUGACUCGUUCAGUGGCUGAUGAAAGUGAUGUCAAUGUCAGCAUGAUCGUGAAUGUCUCUUGCACCUCUGCUUGCACUGAUGAUGAAGAUGACAGUGACCUCCUCUCCAGCUCUACCCUCACCUUGACAGAAGAAGAGCUGUGCAUCAAAGAUGAAGAUGAUGACUCCAGUAUUGCAACAGAUGAUGAAAUUUAUGAAGACUGCAACUUGAUGUCAGGGCUGGACUAUAUAAAGAAUGAAUUGCACACCUGGAUUAGACCAAAGCUUUCCUUGGUUAGAGAUAAGAGAAGGUGUAAUCUCAGUGAUGAGAUAAGGGGCAGUAAGGACAUAAGUAGUAAUGAGGUGACCAAUCCCUCUGAUACACUGAGCAUUGAGGCCCUGCUAAAUGGCUCCACAAAACGUCUCUCUGAAAACAAUGGAAAUGGUAAGAAUGUGCCCGACAUGCAUGAGUUAGGGACAAAGGGUGAAAAUAAGAAAAAUAUUUUCAAAGUUAAUAAAGAUCCAUAUGUGGCCGACAUGGAAAAUGGCAAUAUUGAAAGUACUCCAGAAAGACAGAAAGAUGAACUUCAUGGGAUUUCAAAGGAAUCAGAAAAUCUUGGCCCAAGCAGGAAAAGGAUUUCAGAGAGUGAGUACUGUAAGUGUAAAGCAUUUAUGGAUAGCUCAGGUGACUCAAACACUGCUGGAAAGGAAUUUGUCCCCCCAACUGUUAGACAUCUUCCCCCAAAGUGUCAAAACCACCACCAUUUUGAAAAUCAAAGGGCUGCUUCUACUCCCACUGAGAAGUCCUGCCCAAAACUGCCUUCAGAAACCAGAGUUAUUGAUAGACAGGACUCUGACAUACUGAAAUCUUCAUCUAAUGGUGCACCAAGUGUGGCUGGAAAACCUGCUGGUUGCUGCCUAGGAGCUGAACAAACUGAAAUUGAGGAAAACGCCUCCAUCAGUGACAUUUCCUGUUGUGACUGUGAGCCAGUUGUUUUCCAUCCAAAAGAUGCUGAAGAUUGUUCAGUACAUGACUUUGUUAAGGAAAUCAUUGACAUGGCUUCAACUGCCCUAAAAAGUAAAUCCCAGCCUGAAAAUGAGGCAGCUGCUCCUACUUCAUUAACUCAAAUCAAGGAGAAAGUGUUAGAACAUUCUCACCGGCCCAUCCAGCUGAGAAAAGGAGACUUUUAUUCCUACUUAUCUCUCUCAUCUCAUGACAGUGAUUGUGGGGAGGUCACCAAUUACAUAGAAGAGAAGAGCAACACCCCUUUGCCGCUGGACAUUACUGACUCUGGCCUAGAAGACAAGGAAGACAUUGAAUGCUUCUUUGAGGCCUGUGUUGAGGAUGACCCUGAGGAAGAGGAGCCCCGUUUCUCUAGCGCUUCCCUGAAUGAACCUGCAGGUCCCAGUGAGGCUGCAAUGCCAAUACAAGCAGCAGCAGGCUCUUCUAGGUCCAGUGAUAUUUCUCUCUUAACUGAUGAUGCAGACAUGGUGGCUCUUUCCAAUCCUCCACCUCCAGAAGGAUCUGACAUUGGAAAGGAAAUGGAUGCUCUACCCCAGUCUUCCAAUGUCUGUGGUGAAAGCUCUGAGUCAACUAAUCCUUCAAGGCUGGCCAGUGAAAAAGAAAGUUCAGAACACCCAGGUGAGCCUGGAAUGCCAGAGGAACAUAAUGCUGCUUCAGCCAAGUCUGGAGUUCCAGGACUCUCGUCAAAGGCAGCACAGCCCAAAGACAAAGCCGCAUCGCAUCCCAACUCCAAAACUUUAACCUGUGAAGAAAAUCCUCUAAACCUUGAUGAAGAACGACAUAGAAAUAUGCAUAGGUAGGAUGUAACCCUCUCCAAGCAUGAAAAUCAUCUCAUUGAAAGUCUCUUUACGAUUGGCUGCAAAUGAGAACAAAGAUAAGCCUGGCUGCAACUCAGGGGUGGCCUCAUACUCCCACCCCAGGCUGGUCUCUGUUCCAUCACGACGUCACUGCCGUUUGUGACACUGACCUCCCCCAAGAUGACCCUUCCGAAUGCGGUUUGUCCACGUGACCUUGUGAUCUGGAUGUGUGCACUGGUUCUCUUUAGGUGACUGUCUCUGAAGUUCAGCAAAGCUGCUUGUUCUCCCACAGAUUCCUGUCCCAAGCUACCUCCAUCACCCCGCCUCUCCAGCAAGACUUUCUGUUUGUUUCCUCCCCUCCCCACCUGCUCUAUAAAGUUCUGCAGCUCACCAAAUUGAUGGUCCAUUAAACUUACCUGUCUGGAAUGAGCCCUGCCAGUACUUGACCAAUUUUAUGUUUCAAUAUGAAUUUUUGGUAAUGGUAUGAUGCCUAUGUUUAUUGAAAGAGUUUUACCUAGAAGGGCAACAUUUGAUUUGAUUGCAGCACAGAGGAGAAACACUGGUCUUUCUUUCAAAAUUAAGCAACUUUUAAAAGCUCCAUUUUAUUUAUUUUAUUUUAAUAAUAAUAAUAAUCUAUGCAGCACUUCAAGAAACAACUAUAUGGUGUUGUAUAUUAUAAACUGAUGACAUUCUAUUAAAUUAUGUACAACAUUUUUAGUUUUCUUAUGCUUCUUGAGGUGGUAAUGCGAAAAAAGUUUUAAAAAAGUGUGCCUUGCUGUAUUUCUUAUACCAUUUAUUAAAAAGCUGCUUUCACAGUAAAAUUAGGUUGGGUUGAAAGGAAAAAAUAGCAAGGUUAAGAUGUGUGAAUAAUUUCUGUAUAUAUGUAUAACCAAGUACAAACAUUGAUGUAUAAUGACAGUAUAAAAUGCUUUCAUGUUUGUGAUGUCUAGUGAUGUGGAAAAUAUAAGCCUUAAAUCCAUUAGAUUGCAUGGUAAUUAAAAUUGGCAUAAUAAACAUAGCUUAUUAGGGGAAAAGGAAAAUUAGUGAUCUCUUCUACCUGUGUUCUUUACCAAAUUAUUGCAUCUGGUUCUGGAAAAAAUAUUAUAGAUAGCUGUUUCCAAAAUAUCUAUCUUACAUAAGAGGCUUAAAAUGACCUAAACUAGAAUCUACACAUGAAGCCUUUACAAUUUUCAGAAUCUUUCCAAUCACUAUAAAGAUCUUGGAACACAAAUGAUUAAAGAUAGUUCCCCUAAAGCAG